CCACUCUCCUGCUGCGCACAAAAUCCCUGGAGGGUGCCACUUAGUCAAGACUCUCCCUCCCUUAUGGACUGAGAAUUGAAUGGGACAAAGAAGUUAGCCAGUGACUGGAAACAGGAAUCCUCUCUCGCCAAAUCGUUGAGCCGGAACACAAACUGGAAAGAAAUGAGUGACAUUGCUUCAUGGACUGUCACCACCAGGAGUGUGAAGAAUGCAGAUUGAAUUAUUGGUUAUGAAUGAAUACUUCCAAGCAAAAGGUUCAGUCUCCCAGUGUGACAUCCUGCAGAUGGCAAACAACGAAUUAGGCAGUUGGGAAACAAUGCCUUAUGGACAGGGAAGUCAAAGUGAUCGGGAUCAUUCAUGGCAGAUGAUCAGCUCAACCUUUACAAAAAUAAUUGUCAAAAUACAGCUGUAAUUUCUCACAUACUUUUUCUAGUACUUCUGGUGUCUAUUUGGCAAUACUGUAGUUCUUCUGCCCUUUUUAUUUCUAUGAUGUUGGUGUCUGUGAGCAAAAUGAUAUAGGUAUAUAAUUGUACUGCACCUGUACUUGCAUCCAUCGUGCAUACUCUAUGUGGUUUCACCUGUAGCCUCAGCAGGAACUAAAGCUGUUCCUGAGAACAAUGCAUUAAACAUGCUCUUGUUCUCAAA